CUUUUUAUAUCCUUGUGCAACAUAUUUUUCAUUUCAUGAAGAAACAGCAGCAGUGCUUCCUUGUGAUAUUAUAACUACUUCAGAUGAUGGUCAUUUGACACCAGUUUCUUUGUUUGAGCUGCUUAGACUUGUCCUUUGACUUCCUGCCAUCUUGAUAAGUGUGUCUGAUUGCCUUUCUCGUAGAAACAGAAUUUUGUGUAACAUGAGCAAUGGCACACUUCUACUAUCUGAGGCAGGUUGCUGAUAUUCUCUUUUCUUGAGCUUAAAAAAAUGUUAAUGGAUGCACCCAAGGGUGGUCUAGUGUCAAUGAAGUGAGUGAAAAAAAAAACGAGAGACCAAGGUUCAAAUCGUAGCAGAGACAAAAACACUAGUGCCCUUCCACCAACUCUUCAGGCUGGUGCAUAUCCCGUGUUGUCGUGUCCAUGCGAUGUGAUCUCUCGACCAGUAGUUCGGCUCAUAUCUCACUUCUAGUUUCAGGCAGUGCUCAAACAUGUUUUGAACUGUGAACUGGUUCAUGCACUGCCAAGUAAUGAGGAAAUUAGACCACCUACAUCUAGCCUUGGAGAUCAAUGUCAGUAGCUUGUGGGACAAAAGUAUUUGAAGUUUGCUUGAAGGUUCCUACAUGGGCUUCAGCUUCACAGGAGGAAUUUCUGAAAGAUGUAAUGCAGUUUUUAAUUCUUCGUGGACACAGUCGUCUCGUUCCUCAAUGUGGCCUUGCUGAGUUUCCAGAUGUGAUUCUCAAUGGCAAACUCCUUAAUCUCUUUAACUUGUAUAGGGAGGGAUGGUUUUCAUGUUGGCAUUGGCAUCAUUUGGAAAGGACAAGUUUUCUCAAAGAUGCGAAAUCGCAUGGUAACCAAUAGGUUGACGCCCAGCUAAAUCCGAUGGCUUACAUACCUGUUGAAGAUUUUGGUGUAGCUAUUUCUCAGAAUGCUACGAGAUCUUGGUGCGAGCGGCAUUAUAUGACCACCGUGGGUUACCAGUACGUCUCAGGUUCCAAAAAGGGUAAUCAAAGAAGAGUAACCGACUAGGGUUUACAAAAGGGUUAAUUGUGUUUGGGUAGCGAGAAUGAAAGUCUUCGUCAUCCCAACCGGAGAACAUUAAUAUUUUAUGGAGGAUCAAACAUAAUACCUUUUGACUGCACAUGUGUUGAUGGUUGUUUCAGGGAUAUUUCCUUCGAUGUUUCCCAGACUAAGUGUGCCUGGGAGGACCGGUAUAUAGUAAAUUUGUGAAAAUUUUGUGUUCAAGUGCCGUAAGAGACUAUUUGACUCCUUCUGCUCCGCUCAAAAGAAGAACAAGAAGACUUCAUGGAUUCUACUGCAUUUAUGGGAGGAUCUGCUGAGGUAUUGGACCAUCGAGAAAUUUGAGAAAAAGAGUGAACAGGGAAAGAAGGCCCGAGCAUCUGAGAAGGGUGGCUCCUUGCACUGUGUGGGUGCAAGGAGCAUGGGGGCUACGAGGAGACUAUUGGAAAGAAAAUAUGGGAGGAAGAUGACGCAUGAUGAGUUCUUCAUGGAGACUCGCAUCCAGAAGAAGAAGGCACCGACAGAUCCAAGUAGAUGGGUCGAGGACCGGGCGGAGACUGCACAUAGGGUCGCUACAAGAUUAAUAUGGAGGAUUACACUUAAAGCUUGCCACCGAAUGUGCAAGGCGAGCGACCACCCUUUCAGAUGAAGAAGCGCUGAUGAUAUGGUUGGAUGUUGUCAGUGGUCCUAAAAAGGGGAUAGCAUACGGCCUUCCAAAGAUAUCAUUUCGGCGCUACAGGGCUGGAUUGCAAGGUAUAGAGACUUUCGUCCAAGGCGAGGCAAUUGAUAGGUCGACUAUCUCGUCUAUGGAAAAGAAGAUCACAAAGCUGACAGAAGAGCUUGAAGAGACAAAGGCUAGAGAACAAAAGAGAGAUGAACAAUUUGGUACCCUUCAAGUUCAGCUAGAAAAGAGGGGCGAGCAAUUUAAUCUUGUUCAAGGUCAGCUGGCCAAUCUUCUUGCUAGUGCUUCUUUCCCCAUUACCCGGUCUCGUGAGCCUUACCCAUGUGCUAAUCCUUCUCGUCGUGAUCCUUCGAACCAUGCCGACGAUGAAGGUUCUAGUAGUGAAGAUGGAGAUGAUGCAAUAUAAAACACUCAUUGAAUAGUGUGUACUGCUAAACAAAGUAUUGAACAUGUCAAUAUUUAGUUGGGACUAGUUUUGAAUGAUGAUUGUAUUAUUGA